rnacentral:rRNA from 1 species
UACGUAGGUGGCAAGCGUUGUCCGGAUUUAUUGGGCGUAAAGGGCGCGCAGGCGGUUCGUUUAGUCUCGGGUGAAAUCUCCUGGCUCAACUGGGAGGGGUCUCGGGAUACUGGCGGACUUGAGGAGAGCAGAGGUGAGUGGAAUUCUGGGUGUAGUGGUGAAAUGCGUAGAUAUCCAGAGGAACACCAGUGGCGAAGGCGGCUCACUGGGCUCCACCUGACGCUGAGGCGCGAAAGCGUGGGGAGCGAACCGG